CGCUGUAAACGAUGAGUACUAGGUGUCGGGGGUUACCCCCCUUCGGUGCCGCAGCUAACGCACUAAGUACUCCGCCUGGGAAGUACGCUCGCAAGAGUGAAACUCAAAGGAAUUGACGGGGACCCGCCCAAGUAGCGGAGCAUGUGGUUUAAUUCGAAGCAACGCGAAGAACCUUACCUAAGCUUGACAUCCCAAUGACAUCUCCUUAAUCGGAGAGUUCCCUUCGGGGACAUUGGUGACAGGUGGUGCAUGGUUGUCGUCAGCUCGUGUCGUGAGAUGUUGGGUUAAGUCCCGCAACGAGCGCAACCCUGGUCGUUAGUGGCCAUCAUUAAGUUGGGCAGUCUGGGGGGAAGGCCAGGGAGAACCUGUGGAAAGGUGGGGAUGGAGGCAAAUAAUAAUGGCACUUUUGCUUAGGGAUACACGCGUGCUACAAUGGGGAGUACAGGGGGUUGCCAAGACGUAAGGUGGAGAUAAUCCCUUGAAGCUACUCUAAGAUCGGAUAGUAGGCUGAAACUCGCCUACAUGAAGCUGGAGUUACUAGUAAUCGCAGAUCAGAAUGCUGCGGUGAAUGCGUUCCCGGGUCUUGUACACACCGCCCGUCACACCACGGGAGUUGGAGACGCCCGAAGCCGAUUA
rnacentral:rRNA from 1 species